AAGAGCAAAAUAUCGUUUUUUGCUUUAUUGCUAUCAUGCUUCUUUGUCUUCUGGAGGUUUCUCUUUCCCUUUCUUAAGGAAAGAAACUUAAGGAGGUUUAUUGACCUACUUUGCACUGUCAAGGAACAUUGAAGAAAUGUCUAAUCAAGCCAAUUGAAACAACUGGUUCAUACACAUUAUUCAAAAUACGAACAAUGUUGUUUGUACAAUCUACGGUACUAAAUAAUGAAAUACUGAAUGUCAACCGUUUAAUAAAAAGAAUUUUAAAAUCUUACCACAAAGAA